AUUAUUUAUUAUUAUUAUUGUUUUUUGUAUUUUGGAUAUGCAUAUAAUAGUGUAUCAGACCAUUCUUUGAUAUGAAUGUUGUCUGUCAAUUUGACAUGUUGAGUAUUGAAACUCAACUAAAUGGGCCCUAGUUUAAUAAAAUUAAGCAUAAUUUGAUAAUUAUGGCCUGUAUCAGGCCAUAUUAGCCCAUAUCUAUUUUUUUAAAAAUAAGCUAAAGAAUUAAGGGAACUAUGAAGGAAAGAAAAGGAGAAAAAUGUGAUAAUUGAGAAUCCAUCUUUCUUUUUAUAUUUUCUUUUUAUUCUUUUUUUUUUUUUUAAUUAUUAUUCUUUUGUAUUUUGGAUAUGCAUAUAAUAGUGUAUCAGACCAUUCUUUGAUAUGAAUGUUGUCUGUCAGUUUGACAUGUUGAGUAUUGAAACUCAACUAAAUGGGCCCUAAUUGAACAAAAAUCAAGCACAAUUUGGUAAUUAUGGCGCAUUACGUUAAAAUGCUACAAAAAGAAGAUCAAAACACAAAAAAGAAAGUGAAGGGUUACCCUUCUUUUCGAUUUUUCUUAUAAUGGUCCACUUCAUUUCAUUUGUGGAAUCCCUGUCAAAUCAUUUGUUUUGAUCCCAAAAUAAGUUUGGAUAUGGCGUAAAAUGACUUUCUAUACGUCCUUCAUGGUUUAAAUGAAAAAAGAAGAGGAAACGUGAGUGGAAUUAAAAAAAUAAAAUCAAAAUCAAAAUUGAGUCUUUAUAGGCAUAUUAGUCUGUAUUAGUCCAUAUUGGUGCUGAUAUGCCCCUUUUCAGCUGAUAUGGCUCAUUUUGUUAGGCUAUGCUGAUUUAGCACGUAUCCCGAUAUAAUACCAAUAUUGAAAAGUUUUCAAUGUGAGGGCCUUUCUUACCCUUCAAAGUUUCAUGGGUGAUGUCGAGGACUAUCGAGGUCUUCUUUCUUGUGUGACAUGGAGUUGGCUCUAUUAAAAAAAAAAAAAAAGAAAAAGAAAAAGAAAAGAAAAA